ACCUGCCCUAUGAUAUAUAUAUAUUAAAUGGCCGCGAUAUUUUGAUCGUGCAAAGGUAGCAUAAUCAUUAGUUUUUUAAUUGAGAACUGGUAUGAAAGGUUGAACGAAAAAAAAACUGUCUCAAUUUAAUUUAAUUAGAAUUUUAUUUUUAAGUAAAAAAGCUUAAGUAUAUUUAAAAGACGAGAAGACCCUAUAGAGUUUUAUAAUUAAUAUUAUAAAAAAAAUAUUUAGUAUAUAAAUUUUUAUUUUUUUAUUAAUUAUUUAGUUGGGGUGAUUGAAAAAUUUAAUAAACUUUUUUUAUUAUUGUAACAUUAAUAUAUGAUAAAUUGAUCCAUAUUUUAUGAUUAAAAGAUUAAAUUAC
rnacentral:rRNA from 1 species